rnacentral:rRNA from 1 species
CGCUGGCGGCAGGCCUAACACAUGCAAGUCGAACGGUAACAGGAAGCAGCUUGCUGCUUUGCUGACGAGUGGCGGACGGGUGAGUAAUGUCUGGGAAACUGCCUGAUGGAGGGGGAUAACUACUGGAAACGGUAGCUAAUACCGCAUAACGUCGCAAGACCAAAGAGGGGGACCUUCGGGCCUCUUGCCAUCGGAUGUGCCCAGAUGGGAUUAGCUUGUUGGUGGGGUAACGGCUCACCAAGGCGACGAUCCCUAGCUGGUCUGAGAGGAUGACCAGCCACACUGGAACUGAGACACGGUCCAGACUCCUACGGGAGGCAGCAGUGGGGAAUAUUGCACAAUGGGCGCAAGCCUGAUGCAGCCAUGCCGCGUGUAUGAAGAAGGCCUUCGGGUUGUAAAGUACUUUCAGCGGGGAGGAAGGGAGUAAAGUUAAUACCUUUGCUCAUUGACGUUACCCGCAGAAGAAGCACCGGCUAACUCCGUGCCAGCAGCCGCGGUAAUACGGAGGGUGCAAGCGUUAAUCGGAAUUACUGGGCGUAAAGCGCACGCAGGCGGUUUGUUAAGUCAGAUGUGAAAUCCCCGGGCUCAACCUGGGAACUGCAUCUGAUACUGGCAAGCUUGAGUCUCGUAGAGGGGGGUAGAAUUCCAGGUGUAGCGGUGAAAUGCGUAGA